rnacentral:rRNA from 1 species
CUACGGGGGGCACCAGUGGGGAAUCUUGCGCAAUGGGCGAAAGCCUGACGCAGCAACGCCGCGUGCGGGAUGAAGGCCUUCGGGUUGUAAACCGCUUUUACCAGGAACGAAAAUGACGGUACCUGGAGAAUAAGGUGCGGCCAACUACGUGCCAGCAGCCGCGGUGACACGUAGGCACCAAGCGUUGUCCGGAUUUAUUGGGCGUAAAGAGCUCGUAGGCGGUUCAGUAAGUCGGGUGUGAAAACUCUGGGCUUAACCCAGAGACGCCACUCGAUACUACUGUGACUAGAGUUCGGUAGGGGAGCAGGGAAUUCCUGGUGUAGCGGUGAAAUGCGCAGAUAUCAGGAGGAACACCGAUGGCGAAGGCACUGCUCUGGGCCGAAACUGACGCUGAGGAGCGAAAGCGUGGGUAGCAAACAGGAUUAGAUACCCUUGUAGUC